UACGAACUGCGCGAACGUUAUUCGGAAUCACUGGGCUUACAGGGUGCGUAGGCGGCCCUUCAGGUCCGAUGUGAAAUCCCCCGGCUCAACCGGGGAAUGGCAUUGGAAACCGAGAGGCUAGAGUGAGCUAGAGGUGCACGGAACUUCCGGUGGAGCGGUGAAAUGUGUUGAGAUCGGAAGGAACACCGGUGGCGAAGGCGGACAUCUGGGCUGAUACUGACGCUGAGGCGCGAAAGCUAGGGGAGCAAACCGG
rnacentral:rRNA from 1 species